GAGGAAUAGGGUGGUACAUGUCACAAGGGAUUAGAAUUCCAGAGCAGAUGCCCUAGCAGGGUUGGUAACGUUAAUAACCAUAAAAUAUACCAUAACCCUACCAAUUUAUUUUCAAUUAAAGCCAACUAUUUUGGAUGCAGAAUAGGUAUUAAGCACAGGGGUCUAAUAGGAGAUUUGAAUAGACUUAAUCUAGGAUUACUUGUUGAACGGA
rnacentral:lncRNA from 1 species